rnacentral:rRNA from 1 species
GGCGGCGUGCCUAACACAUGCAAGUCGAACGAGAAAGUGGAGCAAUCCAUGAGUAAAGUGGCGACCGGGUGAGUAACACGUGACUAACCUACCUUCAAGUGGGGGAUAACCUCGGGAAACCGGGGCUAAUACCGCAUAACAUCUUUGGAGUGGAAAUUCUGGAGAUCAAAGGAGUAAUUCGCUGGAAGAGGGGGUCGCGGCUGAUUAGUUAGUUGGCGGGGUAAUGGCCCACCAAGACAGAGAUCGGUAGCCGGCCUGAGAGGGCGCACGGCCACACUGGAACUGAAACACGGUCCAGACUCCUACGGGAGGCAGCAGUGGGGAAUUUUGCGCAAUGGGGGAAACCCUGACGCAGCAACGCCGCGUGGAGGAUGAAGUCCCUUGGGACGUAAACUCCUUUCGACCGGGACGAUAAUGACGGUACCGGUGGAAGAAGCCCCGGCUAACUUCGUGCCAGCAGCCGCGGUAAUACGAAGGGGGCAAGCGUUGUUCGGAAUUAUUGGGCGUAAAGGGCGCGUA